ACCCCAACCUCUCUCACCACGAAAGGAACACAAGUGAACAACACAAGCAACGCUGACACCAAACUCUACAUACAUUAAACAUAAUAGAAACACCGCCACCCGACCCCACCCCCAUCCAUCUUCCCUCUCUCCACCCCCUUUCUUUUUUCCUUUUUUUUUUCUUCUCCCCCCUAAUGCCUCAACAAAUGAAAUGGAUUUGUAAAAAUGUUACAUGAAAAAAAUAUAUAUACGAGGCAGUACACUUACUUCUGUAAAACAAGAAAAUCCUUAAUAAAAUAUUUAAUAAA